CCGAGGAGCCAGACGGGAGCAGGGCGGACCGGAGCAUCAUGGCACACCCCAUCUCAGCCUUCCAGGCUGCCUACAUCUCCAUCGAAGUGCUCAUCGCUUUGGUGUCUGUGCCGGGCAAUAUCCUGGUCAUCUGGGCUGUGAAGAUGAACCAGGCACUGCGGGAUGCCACCUUCUGCUUCAUCGUCUCGCUGGCCGUGGCCGACGUAGCCGUGGGGGCUCUGGUCAUCCCCCUGGCCAUCAUCAUCAACAUCGGACCCCAGACCGAGUUUUACACCUGCCUCAUGGUGGCCUGUCCCGUCCUCAUCCUCACGGAGAGCUCCAUCCUGGCGCUCCUGGCCAUCGCCGUGGAUCGCUACCUGCGGGUGAAGAUCCCAGUCAGGUAUAAGAGCAUGGUGACCCCGCGGCGGGCAGCUGUGGCCAUCGCCUGCUGUUGGAUAGUCUCGUUCCUGGUGGGACUUACGCCCUUGUUUGGCUGGAACAACCUGAACAAGAUGCAGAGGACUCAGGAGCCGAACAGCAGCCACGCAGGGUUUGUCAUCACAUGCCAGUUUGAGACGGUCAUCAGCAUGGAGUACAUGGUGUACUUCAACUUCUUCGUCUGGGUCCUGCCUCCCCUGCUGCUGAUGCUGCUCAUCUACCUGGAGGUCUUCAACCUCAUCCGCAAGCAGCUCAACAAGAAGGUGUCCUCCAGCUCCAACGACCCCCAGAAGUACUACGGGAAGGAGCUGAAGAUCGCCAAGUCCCUGGCGCUGGUUCUCUUCCUGUUUGCGCUCAGCUGGCUGCCUCUGCACGUCCUCAACUGCAUCACCCUGUUCUGCCCGUCCUGCCGGACGCCGCCCAUCCUCACCUACAUCGCCAUCUUCCUCACCCACGGCAACUCGGCCAUGAACCCCAUCGUCUACGCCUUCCGCAUCAAGAAGUUCCGGACUGCCUUCCUGCAGAUCUGGAACCAGUACUUCUGCUGCAAAAGCAGCAAGAACGCCACCAGCACCACCACGGCCGAGACAGGCACCUAGAACUGGGAGGGGCACCCUGCCCACCCAGUCCCCACCCAGACACUGCUCCUGCUGUCUCAGGAAGGGGCAGCAAGGACCCGGUGGGUUCUGAGUUCAGCAGCCCCCUGCAGUCCCCACAGCCACCCCAGGGGUUAUUUAUUCACAAGCAUUGUACUGGUUGGAUAUUGUAGCCUGCACUGCUCCUUUCUGGUUUAGGAUUUUUUUCCUCCCUGUUUGUUUUUGUUUUUCAUUUUUUUAAGCAUUGACAAGUACUUAAGGAGAAGUUGUACAGACAAACUCUGAGUUUAUCUUCAUGCAAAUAAAGUCCAGUGAUCCAAACCACCCAGGAGGUGCCCUGCCGUUGACGGAGACCCUCAGCUCCAUGGUGUUGGUGGUGCUGGGGGCACCUCACGCUCUGGCUCCAUGUACGUGGAGCCCUGGGAGUACCUGGGCACUGGGACAAAGGGUGCCUUGUGGGAGUGAAGAUGCUGAAAACCAGGAGAGGCCAGGGCAGUGGGAUUUCUGAAGAAAAUAAGUUUAAAAGCCCUUUCUUUUGCCUCUGUAACCAGGGAAAGGUGAGCUGGGCUGAGGCAUGGGAAGAGAUGGGAAAAGUCUUCCCACGGCAUUGCCAGCACCCACAGGGGGGUGAGCCCAUCACCCCACAGAGAAGAGGGUCAGUCUCCAGCUCUCAGCACUACCAGGACUGAAAUAAGGGCCUGGAAAGGACACAACAUGCCAGAGUCCUGGAGAUCAGCUCACAGCCUGCUUCCAAACCCUGUCCGUGAAAGAAUUCCACUGGCCAAGGCCACGUGCCCAGGUGCCAAGGACACCAAGGGGGACAGGACACCCCCAGCAGCGUCCAGGGCUGGGUGUGAGCAUGCCAGGGAAAACAAGCUCUCCACUUGCCAGCUGGGACUGCAACCUCCACUCUCCAGCAUUACUGCCAGUACCAACCACCUCAAAAAUCCAUCCUGACCAGCAGAGAGAUAAAAUUAAUCCAACAAUGCCCUCUGAUGGUGGAAACAACCCUGGCGUGGAUGCUGAGCCCCUGGGAACAGCAACACUCUCUGGACUUCAGUUUGGGCUGAAGGCGCCUAGGGACAGAUGAGGACAAAGCAAAGGGGUCUGAUUAAUCACAGGCUUGGCUCUCUGUGGCACCAAGGGUGGGAUGGGCUCCAAUCUGUGGAUGCCAGGCUGGAUUUGCAUCUACACUGGCAAGGCCAGGGCCAGGCAGGACACGGGCAGGAUGUGGCUCUGGCCCCAUGACAGAGAUGCCAGGCAGCUGGGAGAGCUCCUUGUGGCCUCAGAGCAAGGGGAGGCGGUGCUGGUGCAGACAUCACCAGCCAUGUGCUCCAUGGGCCCCUCUGGGCUCUGGUACCACCCAGUGUCUGCCCCGAGCUGGCCCAGAGCUCCAGUGAUAACUCACCCUGCACAUGAGCCCCCAGCUCACAGGGACACGUCCCUCCUCUGGAUAACACAGCAGCAUGUCCUGUCCCCACCGUGGGGAGCUGACAGCUCCUGCCUGGAUCACUGCCUCACUGGUGUGGAUACAAAAACUGUCCUUCAAUAAAGAAGCACUAAGAUGCCACAACACUGAUGUGGCAUUUCUUUUUCCACAGCCAGAAUUAUUCCCCUGGUCCAUAUGGAAAUCUUUCUGCGUUCUCUUUCUCCUUGUUGGGCUCCUUCUGGUUCAGAAAUCUCUCUAUGUGUCUCAUAAAGCUGGUCCUUCCUUUCCAAGCUCAAAAGC